rnacentral:rRNA from 1 species
GUGGGGAAUUUUGGACAAUGGGCGCAAGCCUGAUCCAGCAAUGCCGCGUGCAGGAAGAAGGCCUUCGGGUUGUAAACUGCUUUUGUACGGAACGAAACGGUCCUGGUUAAUACCUGGGGCUAAUGACGGUACCGUAAGAAUAAGCACCGGCUAACUACGUGCCAGCAGCCGCGGUAAUACGUAGGGUGCGAGCGUUAAUCGGAAUUACUGGGCGUAAAGCGUGCGCAGGCGGUGCUGUAAGACAGGCGUGAAAUCCCCGGGCUCAACCUGGGAAUUGCGCUUGUGACUGCAGUGCUGGAGUACGGCAGAGGGGGAUGGAAUUCCGCGUGUAGCAGUGAAAUGCGUAGAUAUGCGGAGGAACACCGAUGGCGAAGGCAGUCCCCUGGGCCUGUACUGACGCUCAUGCACGAAAGCGUGGGGAGCAAACAGGAUUAGAUACCCGUGUAGUCA